GUUCUGCUAGAGGGUCAAGGACGGGUUCCUCAAAACUGUUGUGUUUCCACACCACUUAGCAUGAACACAUGCUGACCUUUCUGCUCUGCAUCUAUCGAUUGAGUAAGUUACAUUCAUAUAUGUUACCCGUUUACAUGUCAUGGCAAAACAUUCAACCUCAGUGACACAAGGGUACAUGUGAUGAUACAUUGUCAACAUUGCAUGUCUGUCAGACUCUAGAGUGUCUGGUGGAAUGGAGAAAGAGGCACCACUGUACAGAUUUCUAGGGAAAGUCGUUCCGCUGACACCAAAACACUGCUUUACAUAAAGCAUAUCAGCUGUUUCAAAGUCCCAACCAUUUGUCUUCCUAAAAUACUGGUCCUUCCGUAUAACAAUAACCUCGUAUGUGAUUGGAGGACCCUUAGACUCCUCGUCCAAUCACGUGUGAGGUCAUAGGCAUGACUGAUACAGCAGUACUUGCAAGACGAGCAUACAAACAGACACGUGUGUGUUACUAUAUUCAGAAGAACUGUAUCUCCAGUUCCUUUGUUUGGUUUUUGCUGCUUCGUGAAUAAUGGCUGGACGACGUCUCGCGCUCAACUCGCCUUCAACUCCUCUCCGCGGUCACCAACUUUCGGCCAGUCCGCAGACAGACGAGAAGAAGCUGCUGAUGAUCUCAGUGGAUCGUCUCGUCAACUCCAACAACAAACUGCCGAUAUCAACGAGCGGUUCGCUCCACUGGAGCGUUCGGGACUCUGCGGGUUUCUGUCCAUGGAGGAGAGGAACCGACUCAAAGAAGAGGAGACGGGCGCACGAUCCCACGAUAGCGGAAGCGCUGCGCCGUCUUCACAACUCCGAGACGAAUUACAGGCGCCACGAACCGGAGCAAGGACUAAUCUCGCCUCAUAAUGAGGCGGUGACCUCGUAUUUGCUCCGGGAAAAGUCCAGAUUUAGACGACGUCAUUGUGUCCGCCUGUGAGACGUAUUGUGAGACGGGACGCAGGAGCUUCAGGUUCAGGCGGAACACUCAUUGCGAGCGGAAGCUGCGAAGGAUUCAGCGCGGAGUCGAGCGAGAAGAAAGAGGCUGCUGGAAUCGAGACAAAGUGUGCUGGCUGAUGACGAGGUGGAACUCCGCCACCGUGGAGCUCACGUCGGACGGAGGGGACGGCGUUGUUGGCGGCGUCUCGGGUGGAUUGUACGGUCGCCACACAGACACGAGCCGCCUGCACAACAGACCUGCCUCGGAAAACACGGCGCCAGUGACGGUCUACGACCCCGAGGAGGCAAACGGACAGUUUACUGAGCUGUAGUUUUUAAACCGCCGUUACCCAAGUGUGGGCAGAUCCUCACUUUGUAUGUAGUUGUUGUUUGUGUG
ensembl:lncRNA